CUCACGAGAGAUGCCUGCAGCUU
rnacentral:piRNA from 1 species